rnacentral:rRNA from 1 species
GACGGAGGGUGCAAGCGUUGUUCGGAAUUACUGGGCGUAAAGGGCGCGUAGGCGGUCUGUUAAGUUCGGUGUGAAAGCCCCCGGCUCACCUGGGGAACUGCGCCGGAAACCGACAGACUCGAGUACCGGAGAGGAGGGUGGAAUUCCUGGUGUAGCGGUGAAAUGCGUAGAUAUCAGGAGGAACACCGGUGGCGAAGGCGGCCCUCUGGACGGAUACUGACGCUGAGGCGCGAAAGCCAGGAGAGCAAACGGG